UAAAUAUUGAAUACAUCUAUUCCAUCCACACAUCAACCAUAAACACGUGCACUAGGGGAAUCGGGGUUAUGAAUGGGAUCUGGACCUGAUGGGUUUUCUGAUAAAAUACGGCCAACAUUACCAGGUUGCAAUGAAUGAUGGUGGCUUCGACCAUGACCUCCUAUGAUUUCUUUGGUGUUGUAAUAAAUAUUAUCAGCCAAGACUCUCGAGCCUUGUCUUCCAAAUUUAUCAACUUUCCAGGUAGCACGAAAUCAUGAUUUGCUCUUAGUGUUACUGAGGGAAAGCCAGUUGCACUUGAUUUCCCAUCAUUAAUUAACAAUACCAAUGAGCAACAUUGAUCAAGAGAAGGUAGGAAAGAAUGUUUGGCACCAUUAUCAUUUGUAGCAUGUUAUUCGAAUAUGGUGCUAACUUUGAAAUAUAAUUUAAGUUAGACAUACAGUGGAUGUAUAUAUACAUAUACUAGUAACUAGUAGAAUAUUGUUUUACCUAACACAACCUUUUAAAAAGUUGUCUCCAUAUGAACAAUUAUUCAUUUUAGUCAAAAAAAAUGAAUUUUAUAAAAAUAAAGAUAGCAAAAUAAACAUAUACUUCAUAUUUUUUGUUUUAAUAAAAUCAUUAAAUAAUUAUUGUUUCUUGACAAUAAUUAUACCAUCCAAAAUGAUAAAUUUUAUGAAAAUUAGUAAGGUAUACUAUUGAACCGAAUUUCUAUUAGACCUCCGUGUAAAAUGUGUUGGAAUAUACUAUAUUUAAAUAUUAUUUAAUUCUUUCAUUCUACUAAUUAUUAUGUGGUCAUACUUUUAAAUUAAUUAUUAUGAUUAAGUGAUCAAAUAAAGACAAAAAAAUAAUUAAGAUUAUAUUUUGAAAAUUAAUUAAUUAAUUAUUUAGUUUGAUAUGGAGUCAAAUAUGAGUAUAUCAAUAUUGUCCAUUUUUGAAUAACGUGAAUCCUAACUGAUCAUCACUAUAUAUGUAAGUUAUGGUCCCUAGUAUAUAGUGCUACAAGCGUAUUAUCUUAUUCUCUCUAUCUAAAGAGUGUUGAAGACAUUAUAAGUACCCGUUGAGGGAGAUUCCACCAAAUACUACAAAAUGUAGAUUUCAUAUUUAUCUUAUAAGUAUGUGGAAGCAAUACUUGAAUUUUUUGAAUUCACGGAAAAAAACACUUCCAACAACAAUGGAAUCUUUUAUGGUCCUUAUGUUAUAUGUUGGAAUGUAUUCUUUUUAAAAGAAAGUAAUUUUCAAUCACCUAGGUUGUGAAAAAUUUAUUCUAAAUUAUACAACAUGGAUGUGACAGGCUGAAGUAGAUGAAUUCCAAACUAUGAAGUCACAUAGAUACAAAGUUAAUGUAGAUAUGGAUGAUAGACUAUAAGAUAUGACCAGUGAAAUUGGAGAAUCUUCUUUUCGGAAAGCCCAUAUGUGUGAUACUUUAUUUAGUGAGAAGGAUUAGUUUUUAUUUAAGAGGUUCACAAAUUUUACAUGUAUAUCGACUAUUUUUUAAUAUUUUUGAUUUGAAGGAAAAAAAGAUGAUGGACAGAUAAAAAUUUAAAAUAUAAUUUCUUGAAUUGCUGAAAGAGAUGCUUCUAGAAGGUAGAAAUUUGUCCAAACCACAGUUUUGAAGCCAAGAAUCUAUUGUGUCCACUUGUUUGGAUUAUGUCAAAAAAUAUGCAUGUUGUAAUUAUUGCAAUUAGAGAGGAAAUAUUAUCAAAAACUUAACCAAUGCCCAAAAUGUGGGGAGUCGUGCUACAAGGAUAAUGACAUCAGUGGUGAUGAAGAUGACGAUGUAAGCAAGAAGCACCCUUUAGCCAAAGUGUCAUGUUCCGGUCAAUAUUAAUUCCAAGGCCCUAGAGAAUGUUUUGUGAUAUUAAGAAAGUGUGAUAGAAAACAUCGCCAGGUAGGAUAUUCUUUAAGGUGGAAGAAAAUUCAGUAAUUGUAUCUAUAUUUUUUCCAUGCUCCAAUUUACAUAAUGGUUGGAUUUGGAAUUGAUUGAAUGAACCCCUUUGAUAAUCUAUGCACUUAUCAAUACAUUUUUGAAAAAGAACUAUAACUUUGUAAAGUAUUUUUGUACUUGCAAAAUAUAGAUAUUAUUAUAGAUAUUCCAAACCGAUGCAACGAGAAAUAAAAAGGCUAAUAGUUGAGAAAUAUAAAUAGAGAUAACUCAUGAACUCUAUAACUUGAGUUUAUAACAUUUAAUUAUUAACAUUGAACUAGUACAUCAAGUGUAUACAGAAUCUCACAAUUUAUUUUAUAAAUAUUGAAUACAUCUAUUCCAUCCACACAUCAACCAUAAACACGUGCACUAGGGGAAUCGGGGUUAUGAAUGGGAUCUGGACCUGAUGGGAUUUCUGAUAAAAUACGACCAACAUUACCAGGUUGCAAUGAAUGAUGGUGGCUUCGACCAUGACCUCCUAUGAUUUCUUUUGUGUUGUAAUAAAUAUUAUCAGCCAAGACUCUCGAGCCUUGUCUUCCAAAUUUAUCAACUUUUUCAGGUAGCACGAAAUCACCAUUUGCUCUUAGUGUUACUGAGGGAAAGCCAGUUGCACUUGAUUUCCCAUCAUUAAUUAACAAUACCAAUGAGCAACAUUGAUCAAGAGAAGGUAGGAAAGAAUUUUUUGCACCAUUAUCAUUUGUAGCAUGUUAUUCGAAUAUGGUGCUAACUUUGAAAUAUAAUUUAAGUUAGACAUACAGUGGAUGUAUAUAUACAUAUACUAGUAACUAGUAGAAUAUUGUUUCACCUAACACAACCUUUUAAAAAGUUGUCUCCAUAUGAACAUUUAUUCAUUUUAGUCAAAAAAAAUGAAUUUUAUAAAAAUAAAGAUAGAAAAUAAACAUAUAUUUCAUAUUUUUUGUUUUAAUAAAAUCAUUAAAUAAUUAUUGUUUCUUGACAAUAAUUAUACCAUCCAAAAUGAUAAAUUUUAUGAAAAUUAGUAAGGUAUACUAUUGAACCGAAUUUCUAUUAGACCUCCGUGUAAAAUGUGUUGGAAUAUACUAUAUUUAAAUAUUAUUUAAUUCUUUCAUUCUACUAAUUAUUAUGUGGUCAUACUUUUAAAUUAAUUAUUAUGAUUAAGUGAUCAAAUAAAGACAAAAAAAUAAUUAAGAUUAUAUUUUGAAAAUUAAUUAAUUAAUUAUUUAGUUUGAUAUGGAGUCAAAUAUGAGUAUAUCAAUAUUGUCCAUUUUUGAAUAACGUGAAUCCUAACUGAUCAUCACUAUAUAUGUAAGUUAUGGUCCCUAGUAUAUAGUGCUACAAGCGUAUUAUCUUAUUCUCUCUAUCUAAAGAGUGUUGAAGACAUUAUAAGUACCCGUUGAGGGAGAUUCCACCAAAUACUACAAAAUGUAGAUUUCAUAUUUAUCUUAUAAGUAUGUGGAAGCAAUACUUGAAUUUCUUGAAUUCACGGAAAAAAACACUUCCAACAACAAUGGAAUCUUUUAUGGUCCUUAUGUUAUAUGUUGGAAUGUAUUCUUUUUAAAAGAAAGUAAUUUUCAAUCACCUAGGUUGUGAAAAAUUUAUUCUAAAUUAUACAACAUGGAUGUGACAGGCUGAAGUAGAUGAAUUCCAAACUAUGAAGUCACAUAGAUACAAAGUUAAUGUAGAUAUGGAUGAUAGACUAUAAGAUAUGACCAGUGAAAUUGGAGAAUCUUCUUUUCGGAAAGCCCAUAUGUGUGAUACUUUAUUUAGUGAGAAGGAUUAGUUUUUAUUUAAGAGGUUCACAAAUUUUACAUGUAUAUCGACUAUUUUUUAAUAUUUUUGAUUUGAAGGAAAAAAAGAUGAUGGACAGAUAAAAAUUUAAAAUAUAAUUUCUUGAAUUGCUGAAAGAGAUGCUUCUAGAAGGUAGAAAUUUGUCCAAACCACAGUUUUGAAGCCAAGAAUCUAUUGUGUCCAAUUGUUUGGAUUAUGUCAAAAAAUAUGCAUGUUGUAAUUAUUGCAAUUAGAGAGGAAAUAUUAUCAAAAAUUUAACCAAUGCCCAAAAUAAGGGGAGUCGUGCUACAAGUAUAAUGACAACAGUGGUGAUGAAGAUGACGAUGUAAGCAAGAAGCACCCUUUAGCCAAAGUGUCAUGUUCUUGUCAAUAUUAAUUCCAAGGCCCUAGAGAAUGUUUUGUGAUAUUAAGAAAGUGUGAUAGAAAACAUCGCCAGGUUGGAUAUUCUUUAAGGUGGAAGAAAAUUCAAUAAUUGUAUUUAUAUUUUUUCCAUGCUCCAAUUUACAUAAUGGUUGGAUUUGGAAUUGAUUGAAUGAACCCCUUGAUAAUCUAUGCACUUAUCAAUACAUUUUUGAAAAAGAACUAUAACUUUGUAAGGUAUUUUUGUACUUGCAAAAUAUAGAUAUUAUUAUAGAUAUUCCAAACCGAUGCAACGAGAAAUAAAAAGGCUAAUAGUUGAGAAAUAUAAAUACAGAUAACUCAUGAACUCUAUAACUUGAGUUUAUAACAUUUAAUUAUUAACAUUGAACUAGUACAUCAAGUGUAUACAGAAUCUCACAAUUUAUUUUAUAAAUAUUGAAUACAUCUAUUCCAUCCACACAUCAACCAUAAACACGUGCACUAGGGGAAUCGGGGUUAUGAAUGGGAUCUGGACCUGAUGGGAUUUCUGAUAAAAUACAACCAACAUUACCAGGUUGCAAUGAAUGAUGGUGGCUUCGACCAUGACCUCCUAUGAUUUCUUUGGUGUUGUAAUAAAUAUUAUCAGCCAAGACUCUCGAGCCUUGUCUUCCAAAUUUAUCAACUUUUUCAGGUAGCACGAAAUCACCAUUUGCUCUUAGUGUUACUGAGGGAAAGCCAGUUGCACUUGAUUUCCCAUCAUUAA
rnacentral:lncRNA from 1 species